rfam:Monodelphis domestica chromosome 1, whole genome shotgun sequence.
UUAAAGCAGAGGUUGGAUAACUAAACAUGGUCAAUGUCCUAGCCUUCUUGUUAAUUUUAAUUAGACCUACACAUGCAAGUUUCCGCUGCCCUGUGAGAAUGCCCUCAAAACUACUCAAUUCUCCAAGAUAAGAGGAGCUGGUAUCAGGCACACACUACUAGUAGCCAACUACACCUUGCUCAACCACACCCCCACGGGAAACAGCAGUGAUUAAAAUUAAGCUAUAAACGAAAGUUUGACUAAAUCAUAGUUAUCUAAGGGUUGGUAAAUUUCGUGCCAGCCACCGCGGUCAUACGAUUAACCCAAAUUAACAAGCCUCCGGCGUAAAGCGUGUCCAAACAAAAGACUAAUAAUAAAGUUAAUACUUAACUAAGUUGUAACACACUCCAGUUAAUACUAAGAUAAACUAUUAAAAUAACUUUAAUAAAGCUGAUACACGAAAACUAAGGUACAAACUGGGAUUAGAUACCCCACUAUGCUUAGUCAUAAACCAAAGUAGUUAGAUAACAAAACUACUCGCCAGAGAACUACUAGCUACUGCUUAAAACUCAAAGGACUUGGCGGUGCCCUAAACCCACCUAGAGGAGCCUGUUCUAUAAUCGAUAAACCCCGAUAUACCCAACCCCAUCUUGCCAAUACAGCCUAUAUACCGCCAUCGUCAGCCCACCUUAAAAAAGAUACAAAGUAAGCAAAAUUAUUUUUUCAUAAAAACGUUAGGUCAAGGUGUAGCAUAUGAUAGGGAAAGAAAUGGGCUACAUUAUCUAGCUUAGAUUACACGAAUCACAUUAUGAAAUCUAAUGUGCCUGAAGGAGGAUUUAGUAGUAAAUUAAGAAUAGAGUGCUUAAUUGAAUUAGGCAAUAGGGCGCGCACACACCGCCCGUCACCCUCCUCAACUCAACCUACAAAAAUACUUAAUAAUAUAUCUAAGUAAAGAGGAGAAAAGUCGUAACACGGUAAGUGUACUGGAAAGUGCACUUGGAAUAUCAAAAUG